AUGGCAAGGAGAAAGAAUGAAACCAGUUUGCCACAUGCUCUAAAAUUGUCUCUCUCUCUUUGUCACAUCUUCCACUUUUUAAUUAUUCUCUCCAGGCAUUCAAAUGAAAAGGCAGAAAGGCAAUUAAGUAAUCUGUGCAUAGGUGCUGCUGCCGUCUCCAGAAGAAAAAAAUUAAUGCUUGAUCAGAAUAAGAAAUUUAUUAAACUCUGGCUAAUGAUACUCUCCUUCAACCCAAGCACUGCUGCUGGAAUAGAAUAUUUAAAAUCUUCCUGUCUCCUGGAAAGUCCAUGGAGUUGGAGGCAGUAUGGCAGAAACCUCGGCCAGCUGUAUCCUACAUCAAGAGGAGCGACAGGUCUUGCUUGUCCCACACUACUUAGAGUUUGGAGAUUCCCAAAGUGCAGAGCAGCAAGAGGAAGAGUUGGCAUGAACAGCUCUUAACAAGUAAG
rnacentral:lncRNA from 1 species